rnacentral:lncRNA from 1 species
UCUCUUAACAUCAUCUAUUCAGUUUUUUGUGGACCAUUGGAUGAAGAUCGAUGGUCGAGAUUUAAUCUUGGGGGAGAUGUUGUGACUUGAUGGUAUUGAUGUUGACACAAUAAGGUCUUCCCACGUUUUUGGCAGAGGCAUGGGUCUUUCCUUCCUUCCCCUUCUUAUGUAGACUCCCUCUGCCAUUUCUUGUGGAGCUCUCGUUUUUCACUUGAAUGUGGUGGUUCUUUAUCGGUUUUCCCCCCUCUCUCUCUUGGAAGGUGAUUUGCAAGUCAUGGAGGGCUGUUCCUGAGCCUGAAAAACACCCAUAAGGAGGAGGAGAAGCUGCUGAAACGAGGAAGGAAAACUGCAGAAAAUUCGGCCAAACACGGUUGUCUCCUUCCACACUUUUUCAUUGUUUUGCCUUAGAAUUUCUUCUAUUGAUUGAUGUUUAUGGUUGAUUGAACUCCUAGGAUCCCCAACAAA